rnacentral:rRNA from 1 species
GGGAGGCAGCAGUGGGGAAUGUUGCGCAAUGGGCGGAAGCCUGAUGCAGCGACGCCGCGUGAGGGAUGACGGCCUUCGGGUUGUAAACCUCUUUCAGCACGGAAGAGGCGAAAGUGACGGUACGUGCAGAAGAAGCGCCGGCUAACUACGUGCCAGCAGCCGCGGUAAUACGUAGGGCGCAAGCGUUGUCCGGAAUUAUUGGGCGUAAAGAG